CUUGUAGGGAAAACUUUUUUCACGUGAUGUGUGGUCGUAGAAUCCCAAAAUCAGAUCUGGGUAUUCCGGAGGUGGACCGACAGAAUCACUGGUGGUGAAAAAAGGUGCCUUUUUUUUUUUUUUUUUUUUUUUUUACCGAAACGACGAGGUAAAUCCAACCGUGGCGAUGGAUUUUCGUUUCGGUAAAAGAGCUGGGCUAUGCGUGGUCUUAUUCAGCCGAAGCGAUGAAUGAAGACGAUGAUCGAAU
rnacentral:lncRNA from 1 species